rnacentral:rRNA from 1 species
CAUCUUUUUUUGAUAAUUGAUUUAAGAUUUGAUCUGCUCAAUGAUUUUUAUUAAAUAGCCGCAGUAUUUUAACUGUGCUAAGGUAGCAUAAUAAAUAGUUUCUUAAUUGGGAACUGGAAUGAAUGAUUGGACAAGAAUUGUACUGUCUCUUAUUUUUUUUAAUGAAUUUUACUUUAUAGUUAAAAGGCUAUAAUGAGAUUAAAAGACGAGAAGACCCUAUAGAGUUUUAAUUGUUUUUUAAUUUGAUUUCUUUAUUAUUUAAAUUUAAUUUUGUUAAUAAUUUUGGUUGGGGUUGCUUUAAGAUUUAAUUAAUUCUUAAUUUUUAAUCAUUAAUUAGUGAUUUUGUUUUCUUUUUUAUAAGAUAAAUUUAAAUUACCUUAGGGAUAACAGCGUAA